UUCCAGACUCCUACGGGAGGCAGCAGUGGGGAAUAUUGCACAAUGGGGGAAACCCUGAUGCAGCGACGCCGCGUGAGUGAAGAAGUAUUUCGGUAUGUAAAGCUCUAUCAGCAGGGAAGAAAAUGACGGUACCUGACUAAGAAGCCCCGGCUAACUACGUGCCAGCAGCCGCGGUAAUACGUAGGGGGCAAGCGUUAUCCGGAUUUACUGGGUGUAAAGGGAGCGUAGACGGCGCUGCAAGUCCGGAGUGAAAGUCCAUGGCUUAACCAUGGUACUGCUCUGGAAACUGUGGAGCUUGAGUGCGGGAGGGGCAGGCGGAAUUCCUAGUGUAGCGGUGAAAUGCGUAGAUAUUAGGAGGAACACCGGCGGCGAAGGCGGCCUGCUGGACCGUAACUGACGUUGAGGCUCGAAAGCGUGGGGAGCAAACAGGAUUAGAACCCCGGUAU
rnacentral:rRNA from 1 species